GCUGAGCGUCAUUCGCGGAGAUGUGUGCUCCUAGGCUCCUAGAUCAGAAGCGGGUUGUGUGACAGAGUCUGAAAACAUGUAACACACGCUGUGUUUCCAACCAUGACCUACUAUCAAAUACUGCAUUCCUUCAGAAGAGGAAGAUGCCUGACACUCUACACUUUAGAAUGUUAUCCCUGAGUGGCUCUUUACCACAGCUGAGAUUCCUUUUCUUUCAGCUCCAGGCUGCCUCCCAGGCUUGAACCUGGACAUGAGAGCCGUAGGCCGGCCC